UACGUAGGUGGCUAGCGUUGUCCGGAUUUACGUGGGCGUAAAGAGCGCGCAGGCGGUCGUUCAAGUCGAGUGUGAAAGCCCCCGGCUCAACUGGGGAGGGUCACGCGAUACUGAUCGACUCGAAGGCAGGAGAGGGAAGGUGGAAUUCCCGGUGUAGUGGUGAAAGUGCGGCAGAUAUCAGGAGGAACACCGAUGGCGAAGGCAGGGUCUCUGGGCAUUAACUGACGCUGAGGAGCGAAAGCAUGGGGAGCGAACAGG
rnacentral:rRNA from 1 species